rnacentral:rRNA from 1 species
GAAGUGGGGAUGACGUCAAAUCAUCAUGCCCCUUAUGACCUGGGCUACACACGUGCUACAAUGGUUGGUACAACGAGUUGCGAGUCGGUGACGGCGAGCUAAUCUCUUAAAGCCAAUCUCAGUUCGGAUUGUAGGCUGCAACUCGCCUACAUGAAGUCGGAAUCGCUAGUAAUCGCGGAUCAGCACGCCGCGGUCGAAUACGUUCCCGGGCCUU